rnacentral:lncRNA from 1 species
UUACUGUAGAUUCCGCAAAGCUACAAUAAGCUGUCAGGAACUCCAGCAGGCCAGGAAUCUCUCCCUAGAGGCACCAACCCAGCUUUUUGAUUUCCCCCUGUACACAUACAUGUCCAGCAUUCCUUUUAAUUUGGGAGACACUGGAUGCCAAGCAUUUUCAGUCUUCACUGAACUGUCUCUUUUUGAAAGACUGAACGCCAAGAAGCGUAAAUUUCAGAAAAAGUAUCAUUGUCCUAGAAAAUUGAGUCCUAUAAGAGAGGGGAGAAGUACAGGAGACUAGACAUUGGUGAAGCUCGCACUGAGGGGAAUGAGACAUUUCUAAGUGGAAUGAAAGGGAAAGAGAAUUGAAAAGGUCGCCACUGAAGACAUCUUACUUAUUUUAUUUCAUUCAUUUAAACUAUGCUUAACCCACCUUUCUCCUUAAAUGACCCAAGCCUGCUUACAUAAUU